rnacentral:rRNA from 1 species
UGGGGAAUCUUGCACAAUGGGCGAAAGCCUGAUGCAGCAACGCCGCGUGCGGGAAGACAGCCCUAGGGUUGUAAACCGCUUUCAGCAGGGAAGAAACUGACGGUACCUGCAGAAGAAGAUGCGGCCAACUACGUGCCAGCAGCCGCGGUGACACGUAGGCAUCAAGCGUUAUCCGGAUUUAUUGGGCGUAAAGAGCUCGUAGGCGGUUCGGUAAGUCGGGUGUGAAAACUCUGGGCUCAACCCAGAGAGGCCACUCGAUACUGCUGUGACUAGAGUGCGGUAGGGGGAGCGGGGGAAUUCCUGGUGUAGCGGUGAAAUGCGCAGAUAUCAGGAGGAACACCAGUGGCGAAGGCGCCGCUCUGGGCCGUAACUGACGCUGAGGAGCGAAAGCAUGGGUAGCAAACAGGAUUAGAUACCCUGGUAGUCCAUGCCGUAAACGUUGGGCACUAGGUGUGGGUCUC